CCCGGGCCGGGCUGUCCCGGACCCACCCGGACCCACUCGAGCCGGCAGAGACUGGGAGAGACAGAGAUGGGGAGAGACAGACAGAGCUGUAGAUGGGGAAAGUCACUUAGAAGCCGAGGGAGAGACAGAGAUGGAGAAAGAGAUGGGAGAAACCUGCAAGAGAAACGCACAGAUAAGGAAGGGCAGAGGGAAGGGGCAAAGGAAGGCAGAGCCGGAGAUCGAGACGGAAGAUGAAGGGCUCGAGUGGGAGACAGGACCAGUCGCCGGUACCCAUGGAGCACGUUCUGCCCGGCAACCAGGGCACGUAGACAAAGUCAGAGAUGCUAAGAGCUGGGGCUGGGCCUGGCGUCCCCAAGAGCAGGGAGGACUCUGGACAUCCGACUGGCUGCCUCUGCAUCCCUGGUUGCUGGACCCAGUGGUCCAGGCCAGCGCCUCUCGCAGCCUGUCUUCCUGCACCUCUUCAAGGUGCGUGCAUCCGUGUGUCUAUCUGUGAUGCUCAGCUCAUGCCUUUGGGCUGCACUGAUACUUCUCAUCCAGGUGGCGCUAGUGAUAAAGAACCUGCCUGCUUCACUUGGACUUGUCACUUUCAUGCAUUGGAGAAGGAAAU
ensembl:lncRNA